UAUGGCCAUAUCAUGUUGAAACACCAGUUCCUGUACAAUCACGGAAGUUAAGCAGGCCUGGUCAGUACCUAGAUGGGUGACCACUUGAAAAUACCAGGUGCUGUAAG